rnacentral:sRNA from 2 species
CGACAUAAAUAGCCUAAUCCCAUAUUGUUGGGUACGGAGGAACCACCUGGUUUAGUGGGGUGAAUCCCGGCAACGCCGUUGGCGUUAAUUCCGGGUAGGGUUAUCUUUUACCGAACCCGUCAGCUAACUCCGGAGGCUGCAAAAAGAGAGGGG